GGAGAUUCUGCGCCUCUCCACUCUCCCCCCAGACUCUGGGACCUUGAUUUCCCAAUGACGUGAACAUUUUACUUUCAUCUGAAAAGAGGACUUUGGACCACUGAGCAACAGUCCAGUUCUUUUUCUCCUCAGCCCAGGUUCUAUGGAAACUUGUUUCUGGACCAGGACUCGUCUGCCCUCACAGAUGCUGACAUGUCCAUUCAGCUGGCUCCUGAUUGGCCGAUGGGAUACUUCUGUGAACUGAUGGGGUUAAAGGUCAGCGAGUGAUGUCAAAUCUGCAUCCUGAGAUGUAUCAUCAUGGAUCUUCACUGAAGUGAUGUCAUGUGUUUUGAUUUCAUGUGUGUUAACAUGUUUAGCUCAUUUAGCUUCUUUCCUCUGGACUGGUUGUCGUCCUCUCAGUGUGUUGCAGACGUUUGAUAGUCCUUCAUCCAAGUCUUCGUCCUGGUCAUCAUUUUCCUGUCUGUCUUCCUGCUGAUUAGAAGAAAGAGAUCCUGGAAACAAACCUCAGGGUCCAGACAAAGAUCAAACAACAAAGCAGAGUCAAGUGUGGGUCCAGAAAAUGACAACGCUGCAGCUACAACACAGAGAAUAUCAGCAGAGCAGCAGGAUGAAGUUUGCUACGCCAACGUAAGUUUCUCCAAGAACCAAGAAGAUCCUCUCUACUCCAACAUCACGCUAGCUCAACACAACAAACAGAAGAAGAAGACAGAGAAGGAGGGAGAUGAUGUAGUGUACACAGCUAUCCAGUUAACUGCUUCAGGAAUAAGAGGUGAAGCUGAGGAGGAUGUGUCUGUGCUGUACAGCACAGUGAACAAAAAACACAGAGAAUGAACACAACACAAACCUGUGUCUCCAUCUGAAGUUUCCAUGAAGUUUAUCCAGUUUGUCUUAAAAUGGACAAUGUGCUACUAUACUGUCUACAAUCAUUUCUGUUCAACUACUGUACCUACACAUAACAGGGUUAUUUAGCUCUUUUAUAGCAAAGGUAGCAUAUGAAAUAACAUUUUAAGCUUCAGAAAUGAAACAUUUCUAUUAAAUUUGCCCGUAUGCACUGCUGUAAU